ensembl:lncRNA
CCAAAAUAACGCCAAGACUGUUUAAUAUGGAGAAAAUCACACUCAAAUGUGGCAGUAAGUCGGUAGUAAAGGGUUGUGUUUUCUGCAACGGCAAUGACUAUUCAUGGUGGAGAACUAGGGAACAAGAAGUUAAUAAAACGCCAGUAUAGUGAACAAUAGGGUACAUUGGCACGAAUAGGGUAAGCACGUUCAUUGUGAUUAUUUGCUUUUUAUACAAGGAAAAAAAACAUGCACUGGCACAAAAUUGGCAUUAAUUGGCAUGCACAAUUUAGUGAAAGCAUUUUGAACCCCAUUAUAAAAUAUUGAACACAUUAUAAAAUACUUGCAAUGUCAGUGAUGAAAGGGAUAUUCAAACAUAGGCACCCAUAGACUAUAAAUACUUGUGGAUUCUUAAAAUCAUUUUGGAUGGAGUUUAUUUUCCCCUUCAAAUUUACAAUCAAACUUACUUAGGCCUACACGGAACCCAUAUGUUAAAACUACAUGUUUGUUCAGGGAAUUGGCGUAGUAAUUGCAUUCAAGCAUAUUUUUAGUAGGCCUGUAGCCUGUAUGUGUGCUCUGAAUUUAGAUCUAAUGUAAUCAAUACCUUUGUCGUUGCAAGCAAGCUAUGCCAUAGAGGCUAUAAGGGCUUGACUAAAUUCCAAGAGGUUGCGUUAUCACAGCAUGUUCUCAGUAUUUCCUGAGGAUGUAAAGAAGGUACAGUUUAUUAGCUCACAAAAUAUCACUUGUAAAAGUUAACAGUCGACCCAUUGGUAAUAAUAAGAGGCCGUGUCACUAUCUUUCGUGACCAGAGCUCACAAGAGGUCAUUUACACAUGGAAUGCAUCAAGUCGAAUUGUAGCACAAACUCUGAAGAGGGUGUUCAUCCACCGAUCUAAAAAAAAAAAAAAAAAAAUUACUGUUAGGUAAGGUGAUGAUAGGUAAGGCCUUAACUGCCAUCCAUUCACCGGGGACAUCCAGUGGCAUUUGACCAGAACGUCAUGAACGUUGAAUGUUGAACGUUGAACAUGUCUUUGAAUAUGCUGUUCCUACAAAUGCGAGGAUAUUUACUCGAUACAUGCUUAGCACGACAUGCUGAAGUUUCUGAACAUGUUAAUGGUCAUCUGAAAACGACAGUGUGGAUCCACAGAAUUCGACGGUCUCAGCGACAGUCUCCCCCAUCUGGAUAAAAAAAGGAAUGGCAUCCCUGCUCUAAAUUCUGGAUACACCACGUGAAGGCAUAAGGAUUUGAUCUGAGCACCAACACGCUAAGGAAUGAUGAAAAAAGAAAGCCUAAAAUGGGUUUGAAGGUGGACUGCAUCAGACUCAGGAUAUGAAUCCUUGAAGAUAAACUAGAUGCUUUCUAUCAUGGCACCUUCAUCUGUUGUCUAUGUACACAUCAGAAGAAGAUAGCUUCUUCACUGGACUUCUCAAGAUUUCAUUUUCCACCGACACAUCAAGGCCACAGACAUGCGUUUUAUGUUACACAUAGGGGUCGUAUGUGCUUUUAGCAGUUUAACCAUUCAUGAAUUAAUGGGCUUAGGAAAACCUUGAGAAAGCAAACUCCAUAUCUGUCAGUGUGACCAGCAGUAGCUAUUCGAGACCAUGUAAAACAUAAUCUCUCCUACAACCUCUAAUACUACAGUGCAGUGAGUUGCAAAAUGUAUUCAGAAACUUUUAUUAGAACAUAAAUUGUAUGUAUUCGUAAGCAUAAACAAAUAUAUGUUUAAAAAGCAAAAUUGAAGGUAAAAAAAUUUCAGACACCUCAAAUUACCAAUGAUAGUAUAUUGCAAAGCUGCUGCUGGCAAUUAUAGCUUGUUUUAAACUGAUUUUUUUAUCUAUUGCUUUUUUUUUUUUUUGAACACUGGGCAAAGAAUGAUUAAAAGCAUUAGUAAUAAUUGAAUACUCACAGGACUGUUGGCAUAGCACUGAUUUUGACAGAUCUGUUUUGCCAAAAGGACAGACAUGAACAGGAAAGAAAAGUUAAUAAAAGACAUAAUUAUAACUUUGAUAUUUAGCUAAUAUAUUUACUGAAAUUGCAGCUGUGGUUUUUCAAAUAUUAUUUUAAAUCUCACCACAUUUACACCCAGCAGCCAGAUAUCGGUAAAUACGAUCCCUUAUUUGUGCCCUUGUGUGAGUGCCAGAUGGUUCAGGGUGUGGGUUUGUUUUGGGUGAUCAGCAAAGCCCUUGGCUCGAUAUUUCACAUAAGAGGUCUACUGACUUCCUGAAAUACCCACAAACUUGUGCCGCUAGUCAUCUGUCAUUUCAAUGAUUUUGUUGAAAGCUGCAUAAGUUAAGCCCCAUGUCUGCAUAAUACUCGUUUGUUUGUGAAGUUACACAAGGAUUCAUCAACCUUCAACUUUGUGGCAGGUAAUGCUGAAUAAAUGCAAUUUCAGUUUGUGGAAAAAAGUACAGUUAUAUUGCCAACAAAAAUACACAUUUAACCAGCUUCUGUUUUUAAGGUAAAUGCUCUGUUAAGUUUAGAUUAAAAAACAAAAACAAACAAAAAAAACAACCAUGAAGCAUGUCUGUGUUAAUAAUUGAUCAUCUCAUCCCAGUAAAAUCAUGUACCUAUUUAUACUACUUAUGUUAUCCAUAUAUGUAUAUAUUUCCCCAUUAAAGCCAUAUUUUCUGAUGGAAUAAGAAAAUUGUAUAAAUAUUUUCUUUUAGGUUAAUAGUUUUUUAUAUACAGAUGAUUAACAAUUCUCUUCUUUGUGUCUCUAUCUUUUUUGUUAGGCAGGCAAUAUUUGACAACAACUGUUCAUUUAUAAGGAAGUUCAGGACAGAAACUGAUGCUCUAGAAAGCACACCACACUCUGAACAUUAGAAAGCAGUUUUAUAUAUUUUAGUGCUUUUCCGAUUCUAUGUUACAGUUUCAAUUAUUAAAUGCUCAGGAGUGAUCCAGAAACAAGGGGGUUUCCACUGUUUGAGUGAUAAACGAUAUGUUACGAUAUGUUAUUAUGUCCCAGAGGAAUGAAUGUGAAAAUCUGAUGCAGGUAG